rnacentral:rRNA from 1 species
AUUGAACGCUGGCGGCAGGCCUAACACAUGCAAGUCGAACGGUAACAGGAAGCAGCUUGCUGCUUCGCUGACGAGUGGCGGACGGGUGAGUAAUGUCUGGGAAACUGCCUGGUGGAGGGGGAUAACUACUGGAAACGGUAGCUAAUACCGCAUAACGUCGCAAGACCAAAGAGGGGGACCUUAGGGCCUCUUGCCAUCGGAUGUGCCCAGAUGGGAUUAGCUAGUAGGUGGGGUAACGGCUCACCUAGGCGACGAUCCCUAGCUGGUCUGAGAGGAUGACCAGCCACACUGGAACUGAGACACGGUCCAGACUCCUACGGGAGGCAGCAGUGGGGAAUAUUGCACAAUGGGCGCAAGCCUGAUGCAGCCAUGCCGCGUGUAUGAAGAAGGCCUUCGGGUUGUAAAGUACUUUCAGCGGGGAGGAAGGGAGUAAAGUUAAUACCUUUGCUCAUUGACGUUACCCGCAGAAGAAGCACCGGCUAACUCCGUG